rnacentral:rRNA from 1 species
UACGUAGGUGACAAGCGUUGUCCGGAUUUACUGGGCGUAAAGAGCGCGCAGGCGGUCGUUCAAGUCGAGUGUGAAAGCCCCCGGCUCAACUGGGGAGGGUCACGCGAUACUGAUCGACUCGAAGGCAGGAGAGGGAAGUGGAAUUCCCGGUGUAGUGGUGAAAUGCGUAGAUAUCGGGAGGAACACCAGUGGCGAAGGCGACUCCUGGCCUGUUCUUGACUGCUGAGGCGCGAAAGCUAGGGGAGCAAAGCGGG